rnacentral:rRNA from 1 species
UCUAGCUCAGGAUGAACGCUGGCGGCGUGCUUAAUACAUGCAAGUCGAACGAAGCACCUGCGACGGAUCCCUUCGGGGUGAAGAUGCUUGUGACUGAGUGGCGGACGGGUGAGUAACGCGUGGGUAACCUGCCUUAUGCAGGGGGACAACAGUUAGAAAUGACUGCUAAUACCGCAUAAGCGCACGAGACCGCAUGGUCAAGUGUGAAAAGAUUUAUCGGCAUAAGAUGGACCCGCGUCUGAUUAGGUAGUUGGUGAGGUAACGGCCCACCAAGCCGACGAUCAGUAGCCGACUUGAGAGAGUGAUCGGCCACAUUGGGACUGAGACACGGCCCAGACUCCUACGGGAGGCAGCAGUGGGGAAUAUUGGGCAAUGGGCGAAAGCCCUGACCCAGCAACGCCGCGUGAAGGAUGAAGGUCUUCGGAUUGUAAACUUCUUUGAUUGGGGAAGAAUAAAUGACCUACCCAAAGAACAAGUCACGGCUAACUACGUGCCAGCCGCGGC